rnacentral:rRNA from 1 species
UACAGAGGGGGCGAAGCGUUGUUCGGAAUUACUGGGCGUAAAGGCGCGUAGGCGGCCUGCUAAGUCAUACGUGAAAUCCCAUGGCUCAACCAUGGAACUGCGUGUGAUACUGGCGGGCUUGAAUUCGGGAGAGGGAUGCGGAAUUCCAGGUGUAGCGGUGAAAUGCGUAGAUAUCUGGAGGAACACCGGUGGCGAAGGCGGCAUCCUGGACCGAGAUUGACGCUGAGGCGCGAAAGCCAGGGGAGCAAACGGG